GCCUGGGUGGCUCAGUGGUUGAGUGUCUGCCUCUGGCGCAGGGCCUGAUCCCGGAGUUCUGGGAUCAAGUCCCACUUCAGGCU
rnacentral:tRNA from 1 species